rnacentral:rRNA from 1 species
GAUGAACGCUAGCGGCAGGCCUAACACAUGCAAGUCGAGGGGUAACAGGAAAGCUUGCUUUUGCUGACGACCGGCGCACGGGUGCGUAACGCGUAUGCAACCUACCUCAUACAGGAGAAUAGCCCUUGGAAACGAGGAUUAAUACUCCAUGGUAUCAUUUUUUCGCAUGUUAAAAUGAUUAAAGAAUUUCGGUAUGAGAUGGGCAUGCGUCCCAUUAGCUAGUUGGUGAGGUAACGGCUCACCAAGGCGACGAUGGGUAGGGGGCCUGAGAGGGUGGUCCCCCACACUGGUACUGAGACACGGACCAGACUCCUACGGGAGGCAGCAGUGAGGAAUAUUGGUCAAUGGAG